CAAGGCGGGUCCCAAACCCAGCGCACAACCCUAUGUGGGAGGAUCUGCUCCACAUAAUUUUCAAUUAAAUGACUGACAAUUUUUGAUUGCACUUUGAUGAGGCAUUUUUAAUCUUUAAUAAAAUUGAAUGAACUGUUUCGGAAUAAAAUUUAUCAUACUACAGAGGUAGAACAAAAAGUAUGUUCACAGUUAAGCCUUUUAACGAAGUAUCAACUAACGAAUUACCAAAUUAACAGGCUUCGGUCUGAAUACCCCUAAUGCUUAAUUAGCCUCUAAUCUCAGUUUGUUAACUACUAGUCAAAUAACAACUGAUGUUGGAAAUAUGUAAUCGACUAUUGCUUUCACUGAUACUUUGUUGAAUUGUCUUAUGAAUAUAAUAUUGAGUCUGAUAUUGAAAGUCAUCGUUUCGCUGUGAGACAGCGACACUUUUAUUGGUGCACCUCAUUCUUUCGUGUAGACUUCACAGUGGUACCAACAUUGAAAUCCAGAAAUAUGACGGUGCUGCCAUUUAUUUCCGUUAAGAGAUGUAUUUCUUAAACUCUACACUGUGAAUAGUAAAUACUAGUUAAUCAAUAGUUAACAUUUUAGUUUACCAACGGUUAACUAAAAGCUGUGAAUUCGGCCCUUAAAGUUAUACUUGUAAUUAGCGAUUUUUGAAAGUAUCGCGGACGCACUUCGUUAUGGUGCUAACAAAUAAAACUACCAUUCAGGACGGAGGUAACCAAUUCACAACUACAUUUGAAAAGGUUCACCUCUUAUACUACUACAUGUCCAUAUCUAACUUUUUGUUUUGAAAAGGAAAAUUCUGUUCUAAGAAUAGCAACAUUCAUCAUAUACAACUUUUGAAUGUGAAAGACGGAGAUGCACAUACUGACAAUGACACUUUUAAAAAUUGCCUUAAUUGAAUCGCCAUUCGAAGAAAAUUUUGAAGAGCGUCAGAACAGGAAAAAUCGAGGAACCAUUAUAUAUAUUUGAUAUUUGAAAUUUCAUGCAGCCACACAUAUUUCCUCGGCAAAUCUUAUAACUUGCACUGGCAGUCUUUGAACAAUUACGCCCGAGCUUCAUGAGACCAGUUGUAGAAUCCUUCAAACAUCUCAAUUCAAAUCAGCCAACAACUGUAACAUAUCCACAGGCUAGUUCGGUGAGUAAAAGCUUAAAGAAGCAGUUAGUAGCGUGGAUCGUGAUAGUUCGUGGAUCCUACGAAUGCAAUGCCACAAUUUGACCGUUAGAUUUGGGUGCGUCUCAGUGUGAAAUACAUCGCGCUAUACCAAAGAUAGGCAAGCAAGAACAAACGCUACAGAAACGCAUUUUAGAGGAGGUACCCUCAAUAAGGAAAUGCGAUUGGACUCCGUGUUAUUUGAAAAUUUAGUUUUCAACAAUAGUGACAACCACAAAAUGGGCGUUCGAAUGGUUGAUUGGUGAUACGUGUUUACAGCAGGGAUUAGAAACCUUGGCGAAAAGUUCGCGCAGAGUUUGGAUUCGCCAAUAGUGGUUUCAUGAAAAGAUAUUAGAUUCAUCAAACAAAAAGUGGAAGGACUCUGAACACAAUUGUAGAAAAUGUGCGUCUCUUGGCGAAUAACAAUGCAUUGGUAGUGCCUUCGUCAGGAUACGAUCCAACAACACCAUGAAGAUUGUCAUAUGGGCGCUUUGAAGAAUACCAUUGAGAUGCUUGUAUGGGUUCUUUUCGCACAGACAACACACACCCAAUAAAUGCAUUUAAUGAAAAAAAUGCAUUAUCCGCCGGGAACUGGUACAAUAAUAUUAAUUGUUCGUUUAAGGAACAUGUAUAAACAAAGUAACUAUAAAAUGCUGUGUGCAGUCUUUGAACAACAAAUGUAACAUUUUGUAUAGCAUUUGCGGACGAGCAAUUAACUACUUUCACGAAUGCUUUGAAGAAAUGAAUUAGUAUGAUUGGCACAAAUAGUCACGGCAUUGCGACAAUUCCGUCGGCGGAAUGCGU